rnacentral:rRNA from 1 species
CGGGUGAGUAAUACAUAAGUAACCUGCCCUAGACAGGGGGAUAACUAUUGGAAACGAUAGCUAAGACCGCAUAGGUACGGACACUGCAUGGUGACCGUAUUAAAAGUGCCUCAAAGCACUGGUAGAGGAUGGACUUAUGGCGCAUUAGCUGGUUGGCGGGGUAACGGCCCACCAAGGCGACGAUGCGUAGCCGACCUGAGGGGGUGACCGGCCACACUGGGACUGAGACACGGCCCAG